rnacentral:rRNA from 1 species
UACGUAGGUGGCAAGCGUUGUCCGGAUUUAUUGGGUUUAAAGGGUGCGUAGGCGGUCAUGUAAGUCAGUGCUGAAAUAUCCCGGCUUAACCGGGAGGGUGGCAUUGAUACUGUAUGACUUGAGUAAAGUUGAGGUUGGCGGAAUUGACGGUGUAGCGGUGAAAUGCUUAGAUAUCGUCAAGAACACCUAUUGCGAAGGCAGCUAACUAAGCCUUAACUGACGCUGAGGCACGAAAGUGUGGGGAUCAAACAGG